AUUGAACGCUGGCGGCAGGCCUAACACAUGCAAGUCGAACGAGUGGCGGACGGGUGAGGAAUGUCUGGGAAACUGCCUGAUGGAGGGGGAUAACUAAUGGAAACGGUAGCUAAUACCGCAUACCAUCAGAUGUGCCCAGAUGGGAUUAGCUAGUUGGUGGGGUAAAGGCGCACCAAGGCGACGAUCCCUAGCUGGUCUGAGAGGAUGACCGGCCACACUGGAACUGAGACACGGGCCAGACUCCUACGGGAGGCAGCAGUGGGGAAUAUUGCACAAUGGGGGCAAGCCUGAUGCAGCCAUGCCGCGUGUGUGAAGAAGGCCUUCGGGUUGUAAAGUACUUUCAGCUGGGAGGCGUUACCCGCAGAAUAAGCACCGGCUAACUCCGUGCCAGCCGCCGCGGUAAUUC
rnacentral:rRNA from 1 species